AUACUUUCGCAAGUCACUGUAUACAUUUAUAUUUCGGACUUUGACAUUGCUUGUUCUGACAUUUUUUAAUGUUUUAUAUUUUUGGGAUUUGUGUGUUGUUUUGUAUUGUUAGGUAUACUACACUGUUGGAGCUAGAAACAAGCAUUUCGCUGCACCUGCGAUAACAUCUGCAGAUAUGUGUACAGGACCAAUACUAUUUCAUUUAGAUUAGAGCUUGACAUGAGUGCCACAUAACAUGUUGAAAUGUUGGAGUCAUACUUAUACUAAUUUAUGUUAUUCAAUAUGCAUAAGCUGCCAUGUAGGCCUAUGUAUUAAAACGUUGUAUCAUUUUCUUAGGCAUCACACUGAUCACCUUGGUGAUCUGGUUCCCGUGGCAUGUGGUGUUUUUGGAAACUACAAGUGGCCCAUAGCAGCAAGGAAGAUCUUGAUGCUGUCGUUCCCUCCUGAGAAGCUGGACCUGAUGUUCACCUCCCCCCUCAUGUACGGUGGCUUCCAGCUGCUCAACGGCCUGCUGCUGGCCACAGUGUUUCAGAGCUAUAAAUGGACAUGACUACAGACACUAUCUGAUGUCCCCUCUGGAGAGGACCCGCAGAGCUAGCUCAGUGUCAACGGUGGAAAUGGGGAAGUCAGUGUGGAGUUUGAGAAUGAACAAACUAUCCCAAAGACCAUACAAAGUAAUGGAGCCUUACUGGGGAAACCAGAUUCGAGGACGAAUUGAAGUGUGGAAUGAACAAAGCCGUUUAUAAAGUCUCCUCCAAAAUUACUGGCACCCUUGAUAAGGAUGAGAAGAAAAUACUAUAUGAAAUAAAUAAUACAAAUACUGAGCUAUAUUGUCUUAAAAAAAAAAAAAGAGGGGAAAUCAUAUUAUUUUAUACUAAUACAAUUGCUGAGAGAUUAUUCUAAUUAUAUUUGUCAAAAUUAUUGGCACCCCUGUUUUUAAUACUCCGGCACCCUCCCCUUGCGAGGAUAACGCCACUGAGCCUUUUUCUAAAAUGUUUUAUGAGUUGGCGAACACAUUGGUAGGGAUCAUUCCUACAUACAGCAUCUUCCCAGGUCCUUGAUACCCUUCAGUCUGUGCGUAUGGAGUACCCUCUUCUAUUCAAACCACAGGUUUUCAAUGGGGUUCUAGUCCAGUCACUGUUGACAUUUCAUCAAUGUAUUUUAAUGUAUAAAAGUACAGACAUGCCUAACUGUGAUGUUUUUAAUGCAUUGAUUCUACUAAUAUAAGUGUUGCAUUUGAAAGUUAUUUUUUCAGAAAAAUAAAGAUUAAGAAAAAAAAAAAUUUAACAGCCUUUUUAUGCCUUGAGUGUAAUAGAAGUAUCAAUGCAUUGUUUAUAUAAUGGACAUGAAGUCUACUUUUGCUCAUGUGAGCCCUGAUAAGAGGUCACUUUACUCAGGAUUCCCCUUUUGGAUCAACCUUGUUCCUACGGCAGAACAGAUACCCUACUCUGUGGAUGCUACUGUGAGGUCAAAGAUAUUGCAUAACAUCUCUCACAAGAGCCGAUUCAGCUGUAUCUGACCAGUUGAGUCGAUAGGGUGCAAAGUUUUGCUCCCUUGUUCUGCUGAAAACAUUACUCUAUAAAUGGACAAUUACAUAUUGAUCCAGUGAUCCAUGAAGGCUUAGGAAUGACAUCAAAGUUCAAGCGAGUUUAGAAUCAACUCUUAGCCCAAGCAUCCUAACGGAUGUUGGUGAGUUUGUGUGAGAGAGAAGAGAGAGCUACUAUACUUAGUGGUAGAGAAGAGAGAGCUACUAUACUUAGUGGUAGAGAAGAGAGAGCUACUAUACUUACAGUGGUAGAGGCUGGUGUCGUGGCGCACCAGAGCAGUGGAGCCUGUCACCAGCAGAGCAGUGGAGCCUGUCACCAGCAGAGCAGUGGAGACCCAGAAAAGGGUGAGGACACAUGGAUUAGGCUACAUGUCUGACUGUGUUUAGUUUCUCUAAUGUCCACACUGGGACCGGCAUGGCUGUGGCAGUAUGUAACAAAGCAAUACUCUCUCUGUGAUGAUGCCUCAAUAUAACAGGUAGAGGGAAAGUAAACCGUGUGAACAUUAUUGCCAACCAGUACUGUAUUGUGCUGUCCCAGAUAUUUUCUUGUCACAUUAUCCUUUCCAGCACGGCUCCAGCAACAAUGGUGGAUACGUAACCAGGACAGCUCAGCUUGGCUUAGCCAGAGCCGUUUUCUUACAGAGUUCACACAACUCUUUGUUUGGGGUGCAUAUAUUGUAUGUCAGAGACUAAACAUUCAUAUGAAAAUAUAACACCAACAUAGGGGGGCAGGGCUUUCGUCCCUCUACCCAACAGAGAUCAGAUGUUAAUCAUUUGUUGCAAGAUUUUAUUGGCCAAGAUAGUUAAACUGAAUAGCUUUCAUAUGACCCUAUAAAGUAUACCUUUAACUGCCUUACAUCGCACAUUUUUCUGUAGUAGAUUGUAUAACACUAUGUUUUAUACUUUAACUGAUGCAAAACAUUCUGUGCAAUAAACAGACUACCACAUGAGCAUCA